rnacentral:sRNA from 1 species
CAACCGAUAAUCCAAGGCGAGUGUAUACAUUCUAUGCAUCUGUGUUCUGGUCAGAUCUUAUGCAAUGAGUAUCAGAUACCAUCAUUUACCAUAUCCAUCCGAUCCUUUUCCGGCUCAUCAUUCGGCUAUCAACCAGUUAAUAACCAUGUUUCUCCACCAUAAAUGGAGAGGACUCACAAGAAGGUAUUUCCCUUUACAAAAUGCAUGAUAUGUUCGGCCGUUCUGCUCAUUUAGCUUGUGCAAGCCAAGUCUGUUUUGAGUUUUCUCUUACCUGAGUCCUGAGAUCGUUAGCUGGGAUAGUCAUUGGGUAUGAAACAUGGCCCUUACGGAUAAUCGGUAAUACUUUCUGUGAG